ACGACUCUCGGCAACGGAUAUCUCGGCUCUCGCAUCGAUGAAGAACGUAGCGAAAUGCGAUACUUGGUGUGAAUUGCAGAAUCCCGUGAACCAUCGAGUCUUUGAACGCAAGUUGCGCCCCAAGCCUUCUGCCGAGGCACGUCUGCCUGGGUGUCACA
rnacentral:rRNA from 1 species